UUUAUUUGCGCAGCAUAGGUGGGAGGCAUUGAGUUUAUUCUUGCGGGAAUUUAGGAGCCAUCAGUGAGAUACCACUCUGGUAAUGUUAGAUUUCUAACUUUGUAUCAUGAUCUGGUCAAAGAACAGUUUCAGGCGGGCAGUUUGACCGGGGCGGUCGCCUCCCAAAUGGUAACGGAGGCGUACAAAGGUUUCCUCUGAACGUGUAGAAAUCGUAUCUAGAGUGUAAAGGCAUAAGGAAGCUUGACUGUGAGACCUACAAGUCGAGCAGGGACGAAAGUCGGUCUUAGUGAUCUGACGGUGCUGAGUGGAAAGGCCGUCACUCAACGGAUAAAAGUUACUCUAGGGAUAACAGGCUGA
rnacentral:rRNA from 1 species